rnacentral:lncRNA from 1 species
AAGAUCAGGACUCAGCAAUGUCUAAUUCAUGGCAUUCCACCUGACCAUGGAUGAUGUUGGCUCCAGGGAGCACUGAGCAUCAGUGAGAAUCCUGAAGUGGCCUGAAGCUGGGAGCUGCAGUCCCUGUUUUCCUGGGCCAGAGCCUGUAGUGGAGGAGAAGACAAGGAAGCAGGCUGCCAUCGAGGGUGUCUAGAACAGAAAAGUAUCGAUUCCUCAGUCUGGUCUUCAGAGAGGCAACCACUUAUUUACAAUGAAGACUGCAGAUACACCAUGCCAGAACUCGGUUCCAGUUCUCAUCAGUUCACACUCAGAUGAUGGGGGUUCAACUGGACACUCUGUCUCUCUUCUCCUUGUUGUUGUUUAGUCACUAAGUCAUGUCUGACUCUUCGUGACCCCAUGGACUAUAC